AUUUCCACUGCUGCACCGGGGGCACACGCAUCUUCCCCAGGACUUGGAAUUCCGGAGAAUUGCCUUUGUGAGAAGCUGGCAGUAAUUUCUUUAAAUUCCAUCUCUUAGUUUUCCAUGUAAGUAUUCGUGGUUGUUAAGAAUUA
rnacentral:other from 1 species